UGGGGGAUAUUGCACAAUGGGCGAAAGCCUGAUGCAGCGACGCCGCGUGGGGGAUGAAGGCUUUCGGGUUGUAAACCUCUUUCGCUAUCGAACAAGGCCCGCUUAGGGUGGGUUGAGGGUAGGUGGAGAAGAAGCGCCGGCUAACUACGUGCCAGCAGCCGCGGUAAUACGUAGGGCGCGAGCGUUGUCCGGAAUUAUUGGGCGUAAAGGGCUUGUAGGCGGCUUGUUGCGCCUGCUGUGACAACGCGGGGCUUAACUUCGCGCGUGCAGUGGGUACGGGCAGGCUUGAGUGUGGUAGGGGUGACUGGAAUUCCAGGUGUAGCGGUGGAAUGCGCAGAUAUCUGGAGGAACACCGAUGGCGAAGGCAGGUCACUGGGCCAUUACUGACGCUGAGGAGCGAAAGCAUGGGUAGCGAACAGG
rnacentral:rRNA from 1 species